rnacentral:rRNA from 1 species
GGACAGAAUCCUUCGGGAGGAAGACCAUUGUGACUGAGUGGCGGACGGGUGAGUAACGCGUGGGUAACCUGCCUUGUACAGGGGGAUAACAGUUGGAAACGACUGCUAAUACCGCAUAAGCGCACAGUACCGCAUGGUACGGUGUGAAAAACUCCGGUGGUACAAGAUGGACCCGCGUCUGAUUAGCUAGUUGGUGAGGUAACGGCCCACCAAGGCGACGAUCAGUAGCCGACUUGAGAGAGUGAUCGGCCACAUUGGGACUGAGACACGGCCCAAACUCCUACGGGAGGCAGCAGUAGGGAAUAUUGCACAAUGGGGGAAACCCUGAUGCAGCGACGCCGCGUGAAGGAAGAAGUAUUUCGGUAUGUAAACUUCUAUCAGCGAGGAAGAAAAUGACGGUACUUGACUAAGAAGCCCCGGCUAAAUACGUGCCAGCAGCCGCGGUAAUACGUAUGGGGCAAGCGUUAUCCGGAUUUACUGGGUGUAAAGGGAGCGUAGGCGGCAUGGCAAGUCAGAAGUGAAAGCCUGGGGCUCAACCCCGGAAUUGCUUUUGAAACUGUCAGGCUAGAGUGUCGGAGGGGUAAGCGGAAUUCCUAGUGUAGCGGUGAAAUGCGUAGAUAUUAGGAGGAACACCGGUGGCGAAGGCGGCUUACUGGACGAUUACUGACGCUGAGGCUCGAAAGCGUGGGGAGCAAACAGG